rnacentral:snoRNA from 1 species
CUUCUAUGAUGAGACAAAUUUUUUCAGUUCUGCUUCUGCAAACAUCUUGAAGAAAAACAAAUACCUUACCAAAAACUCCUGAUUA